UCGUUAAAAUAGGUCUGCCCACCCUCUUCUUGGGGCAGACAUGGACCAACCUCUUUUUACCUCUUCUAUCAUCUUCUCCUCUUCCUUCUUCCCUUCCCUCUUCCCUCUUCUGCUCUCAAACAACAAAACCCUAACUUCCUCACCCCAUCUCCUCCACCACCUCAUCACCCUCCCACCGCCGUCCGCCACCCACCUCCCUCCUCACCAGCCCCAGCCACCUUGUUCUUCUCCUCCACCCUACUCCUCUUCCCACCUCCGCCACCUACCAGCGCCACCACCUCCGCCACCUCCACAACGGUCGUCGACCUCCGCCAACCCUGCCCGUCGACGACCUAUCCGCCACCUUCCCACUGUCGUCCGGCAAAAGGUUGACCACUUGAAUCACACAUAAUAUAAUGAAAAAGCCCCUGAAUUUAUUUAUCUUUUUUCCAUAUUCGUUCAUAAUCCUGUAGAAACCCACACACUUGAGGCAGUUGAGACAUUAAAGAAUGCCUCUGGAUUUCAAAGAUUUUCAAGAAAAGGUUUCAACUGGGUUCAGACCAUGGCAACCCUCCUUUGAAUUCUGGGUUCUUGCUGUCGAUAUCUACACUGGUUAUAAGUUUCCUCCAAAAUUGGGAACUUCAGUGCAUUCGCUUCAUAUACUUGAGAAAGCUAUUCAAAGAGCUGCAUAAAUUUACUUGUUCAAAGAGUGAUCUAUUUAUGUUUCAUCAUAGCAUUCAGAAAAGUUAAAGAGAUGUCUGGAUUUUCAACAGAUCAGGUAUAGUUUUUAAUUCCCAUGUUUCAAGUUUCAACUUAGUUAUAUAAUCUAGCUAGGUUAAGGGUCUUGUUUUAGUUUAAAUGGGUUUGUUUGGAUAAUAUAUAUUUUGUAACUACUCAAGCUUGUUCACCUAAAUUUUGUAACUAAUAUUUGAUGGAGGUGCUAAUGUCUCAUUUAAAUGAUAAAGGGUAUACUUUUGAAAUUUCUACCAAUAGAGUUUCAAACAUGUUGGAAGACUUAUUCUUUGUUCCUAAAAUCUCAUACAAGUACUUCCUUGAUUUUCCACAUGUGUUGCUUAUGGAUGUCACAUACAAUACGAACAAGUAUAAAUUGCCUUU